rnacentral:lncRNA from 1 species
AAGUUAAUAUAAAAAAAGAAGAUGUGGUAUGAUUGCCAAUGAUACAACUAUCCACAAAAGACCAAAAUGACACAGACAUUAUUAACUAUAGGUCACCGUACGGCCUUCAACAAUGAGCAAAGCCCAUACCGCAUAGUCAGCUAUAAAAGGCCCCGAUAAGACAAUGUAAAACAAUUCAAACGAGAAAACUAACGGCCUUAUUUAUGUAAAAAAAUAAAAAUAAAAC